AUCUAGCUGACGAAUCCCAAAUAGGACGAAACGCGCGUCAAAAUGGAU
rnacentral:hammerhead_ribozyme from 1 species